UACGUAGGGUGCAAGCGUUAAUCGGAAUUACUGGGCGUAAAGCGUGCGCAGGCGGUUAUGCAAGACAGAGGUGAAAUCCCCGGGCUCAACCGGGGAACUGCCUUUGUGACUGCAGAGCUAGAGUACGGUAGAGGGGGAUGGAAUUCCGCGUGUAGCAGUGAAAUGCGUAGAUAUGCGGAGGAACACCGCGGGCGAAGGCAAUCCCCUGGACCUGUACUGACGCUCAUGCACGAAAGCGUGGGGAGCAAACAGG
rnacentral:rRNA from 1 species